rnacentral:rRNA from 1 species
AGUGAACGCUGGCGGUAGGCCUAACACAUGCAAGUCGAACGGCAGCACAGUAAGAGCUUGCUCUUACGGGUGGCGAGUGGCGGACGGGUGAGGAAUACAUCGGAAUCUACUUUUUCGUGGGGGAUAACGUAGGGAAACUUACGCUAAUACCGCAUACGACCUACGGGUGAAAGCAGGGGAUCUUCGGACCUUGCGCGAUUGAAUGAGCCGAUGUCGGAUUAGCUAGUUGGCGGGGUAAAGGCCCACCAAGGCGAGGAUCCGUAGCUGGUCUGAGAGGAUGAUCAGCCACACUGGAACUGAGACACGGUCCAGGCUCCUACGGGAGGCAGCAGUGGGGAAUGUGGGACAAUGGGCGCAAGCCUGAUCCAGCCAUACCGCGUGGGUGAAGAAGGCCUUCGGGUUGUAAAGCCCUUUUGUUGGGAAAGAAAAGCAGCAGGUUAAUACCCCGCUGUUCUGACGGUACCCAAAGAAUAAGCACCGGCUAACUUCGUG